rnacentral:lncRNA from 1 species
UACAAGGCAACUCCAUUGGGGAAAUCAGCACUGGACUCUCAAGUUCUAUGGGUCUUAAAGGAGUUACAAGAACUGGAGGCUUGGAUGGUGGCUUUGAAAUUGGUGGUGUUGGAGUUUUUGGACUAUCCCAAUUUUUAACGGGUGGUGGCGGUGGUGGUGGUGGAGGAGGCUGGUACACAAGCCGGAAUACUAAUCAAAAGGGGCAGCGGUGGUGGUGGUGGAGGAGGCUGUACACAAGCCGGAAUACUAAUCAAAUGAGGCGGCGGUGGUGGUGGUGGAGGAGGCUGUACACAAGCCGGAAUACUAAUCAAAAGAGGCGGCGGUGGUGGUGGUGGAACUGAAACUGAUUCAUUCUGCUGUAUGUGAUUGCUGAUUCUCAUCGGAGAUUCAACAUUCUGAUCCCAAACAUCGGAAAUUCUGGGUGAU